GGGGGCGAUUUGGUCUCGACGGGAGCGGUUGGGGCAGGGGUUGCAUGCCGAGGUCCCCGCAACCUCGUAAAAAAGCGGGAGAAAAAUAACUGCCGACACCGAACUCGCUCUGGCCGCCUAAUUGAGCGGCCCGUCCGCCCGUUCCUCCGCCCGCGGGAACGGGAUGGGCGUCGCCGAGCGGGCUGCGCGGCUUGACCCGCCCGGAGGUCAGGCCGCUAAGUUCGAUCCGGGCUAGCCGACGGAUGACCUUGCCCAUGGGGUCGCCGUUGGCGAAACCAUAAAACAUGGGCUAAGCAUGUAGGAGCCUCUGUCACAGCCCUCCCGGACGUGGGUUCGAUUCCCACCGCCUCCACCA
rnacentral:tmRNA from 1 species